UACGUAGGGUGCGAGCGUUGUCCGGAAUUACUGGGCGUAAAGAGCUCGUAGGCGGUUUGUCGCGUCUGCCGUGAAAGUCCGGGGCUCAACUCCGGAUCUGCGGUGGGUACGGGCAGACUAGAGUGCAGUAGGGGAGACUGGAAUUCCUGGUGUAGCGGUGGAAUGCGCAGAUAUCAGGAGGAACACCGAUGGCGAAGGCAGGUCUCUGGGCCACUACUGACGCUGAGAAGCGAAAGCAUGGGGAGCAAACAGG
rnacentral:rRNA from 1 species